CUGAAGGAAGUGAGGGGACAAACAACUGUGUAAUUUAUUUUUACAAGAGCUCUCCCAUUUCUUCAUUAACAAGUAUACAUAAAGGCAUCCAGAAUUAUAGCUCAAGUAGUCCAUGUCAAAUCAAGUUUUCUUAUAGUAUAUUAGGUCUUUAUAUUUUAAAAGCAGCUACAAGAAGGAAGAUACAAGAAAAACAGAAAAGUGCUUAUAUUUUACCCAGCAAGCAAUCUGGUGCCUGAAUUGUUAUUGUAUAGUUUGGCAGGUCUAUCAAAUUAAAUUUUAAAUAACAUGCUUGCUGUCUGUACAGCAGACCAGGCAACAUAUUUGAAGCAUGCCUUAAUUAAAGAAUCUAGGCAAGCAUCUCAGCUUUGUUGCUUCAGGCUUUCUUUAAUGAAACAGUACAAGUGAGUGGACACUGAAAUACUUCUGUGCUACUUCGGAGAAAAGAAACUAUUAAGAGGAGGAGGAGGAGACAGACAGAAAUUACAUGUGAGCUUCAUACUUCCAGAGGGAGGAAUAAUUCUGGAAGAGAAACAAAUAAGAAGAGACCAUGAUGGUAAGGAGCAGGAGAUACUGUAGUUCUUGAACCUGUCCUAGGUGCAAUAACCAAUCUGUAAUUGGGAGUACCCUGUUGCUGUAGCAGGUCAGAGUGGCUUUUUCCAGUAGAGAGAAACCCCUGGACAGGGACAACAGCAGAGGGACUGGUAGCCAAACGGGUGCAGCAUUUCGUACAUCAGUUUCUAUUCUGUGGAAUGGCUAAGCAGCAAAUGUCAAGCACAUGUGUGGCUUAUGACAGCAAGAAGGAAAAUGGAAGCAGGACACACAUAACAGAAGUUAACGCUGAGCAGAUUUACAAUCAAGAUGGCCCACAGAAUGACAGAAGACGUAACUUUCAGGGAGUUGUCUCUGGUCUCAGAGAGGUUGGUUUCAAAUUGAAAAGGCAGGCAACAGAGGUCAUAGUCCUUUUAGUAAUUAACAUGUAACAUGUACAUAAGUAAAACUGUGUAAAUCAUGGCAGUAAACUGCUGCUAAUUAAUAUGAUGCUGGUUGCAUUCCUGGUCAUACACCCAGCCACACAGCAGACACUUUUUGAUCCACGGUAAUUUACUCCCAUAACUUACAAGAGUUCAUGUGCUUGUGUAAAUUGGCAACAAGAUGGCUAAUAUCUGUUUUAUAGUCUGAUGCUCCAUUUCCUUGGGUGCAGCAUAAAGUUACACCGACAUAGGUUUGCAGGGAGUUAUAACCAUGCAGUCCACACUGUGUGUCUGAUUGUGCAGUUGCACAACUGUGCCUAUGGAACUGUUGCUAGAUAUCACUUCUGCCUUGGUGCAAAUUUUGGAACUACUCGCAACUGCAAGUUUUGCAGGCCUAGGUAUGCAACAGGAUUUGGGACACCAAGUCAUUUCAUUUGCUUUCUUGCAAGGGAUAGAUUGUAUUCCCAUGAGGUUCAUUUGUUGCUUCAAGAACUAUUUAGCUCUGCAAAAGGAAAGGAUACAGCAAGGCAUACACAUUAUCUUGCAAGAUAGAAUGUUUUAUUGUGUCGAAGCACUAUGCUAAGGCUGGAGCCACAUUAUCCCCCUGCUUAUCCUGGAGUGGGUGCACCUGGGAAGAAGUCACAUGAGCUGAAGGCUAUGGACCCUGACUGGAACCAUGUCAUUCCCAAACACCCUAGUCUCCUCAGAACCUGACGGUGUCUCCAGAAUUUGAAAAUCCAUAGGCACUUGGAAGACAUGCAAGGCAGAACUGCAUCGCACCCAUACAAACCCUUAGAUCACAGUAGUUGCUCAAAGCAAGACCUGGUUUAGUACCAUAAACCCUCAAAACCAAAAACUCAGACAGUUGGUUGAAGAAAUUUUUACAUUUUAGUAAAAGAAGCCAAAGAAUGGGAAAAGGUAAUAGAUACAGUAUUUCAGUUCAAGAUGGUUCUUUUGAGAGUGUAAUGCAAGAUAGUCUGUGCCUUGCAGUUUUGGUCAGAGGUGGCUAAUUUGCAAGACCUUCUCAUUUCUAAACAGAGGCCACAUGAUGGAAAGUUUGUCUCACACAGAGUAGCAGCUGGCACUUCUGCUCAUCCCCUGAUGUUAAGCUACUUAUUACCCAAAGUUAAGCAAGGUUUUCUGGCACAGGAGGUAGAAAAUCUUUCAGCACCACACCUCAUCUUUCACAGUAAAAAUACAAUAUUUGCUGCCCUUUCAUGACAUUCUAAUCCUGCCUCAUAAGAGUAUUCAUAACCCAACUCGGUUAAAGCCUCGAGUACCAAGCUUGUGCAA